GGAAGAUCACUGGGGACACCCGUCACCCCAUCCAUAAACUGCUUCAGCUGCUUCCGUCUGGCAAACGAUACCCACAGCAUUAAAGCCAGGACCAACAGGCUACAAGCCCACUCCUUUUGGAUAUGCUUGGUGGAGGGGAAGGCUAUUCUUGUGAUGAAACCUGUGAAGCUGGUGCACCUAUUUCAAAGAAGGAAACCGCAGCAUCUGGAAGAAACUCACUCACUCAUGGGAAAGGCGUAAAAACUUCUUCCAGAGGAUGCCGGAAAUGAACUCUGAACUUUGCCCCUGAGCGGUGGCUGUCGACCAAGUUAUGAGGGGCUUAGAUGUCCACAAUAAGGACAUGAGAAGUUGUGCUGGAUCUGAGAGUGGAGAUGCUUCUAUUGCUUACAUCUUGGUCGCGCAGCGGUUAGUAGGCACUUAAGUCUAGUCUAAAUCCCUGGUUAGCUUUUUACAUUGUUUUGCAGGUAAGCCUCUCAUCCUUGUAGAGGUUUUUGAGGUACUUCUCUAACUGACAUAAUCUACUCUAAUAUUUUGUUGUGAUCAAUGUGUAACAUAUACUUCACUUGCUGAAUCCAGCAAAAUUGGCAUUUACCCUCCUCUGAAACCACUAGAGCUAUCAGCACUCCUGGGCUGACUGCUCACUCUACUCUGGGUCUCCUUACUCCCUGUCUCAUCUUUCAUUCCCUCUUCCACCAAGGCCUCCACUGGAACAUCUGAAAAUGGCUGAGUCCACUUCCCCCUUUAUUGUGUCAGAAUAUAUAGAGAAUAUACAGCACAGAAACAGUGCCAUAAACAAAAAUGCAUCACUCUCAGAAUUACUGCAACUGUAGUAAGCUAAUACCCUUCAAAAGACUCACAAUAUUUAAACAAC